rnacentral:tmRNA from 1 species
GGGGCUGACCGGUAUUGACAGCAUAGUUCUUUGUAAGUGUAAGCAUGUAGUGCGUUGCGUAGUCGGCACUUAAAUCUUAAUACGAACAUUUUAAAUGGCAAUACACAGUAUGCCAUGGCUGCUUAAUCGAUAGAUUAGCAUCCAUUAGGGCCGUUGGGCAGGUUGGCCGGUUACCAUGCCCUCCCGCCGACUCAAAACAAAAACAGGCUGCUGCAGGCCAAUGAUGUGACGCCUGCUUAAGACUAUUCAUCUAAGGAAAUAAUUGGUUUGUUGUACCCCGGUUGUUUCUCUACAAUUAAUGUGCAAAUAAACAUGUAGAAAGCUUAUAACGGAGAUGUUUGGACCAGGGUUCGAUUCCCUGCAGCUCCACUU